rnacentral:rRNA from 1 species
GACAGAGGUCCCGAGCGUUAGGCGGAAUCACUGGGCUUAAAGCGUGUGUAGGUGGAUGCCUAAGUACUUUGUGAAAUCCCACGGCUUAACCGUGGAAUUGCUUGGUAUACUGGGCGUCUUGAGCCAGCUAGGGGCAACCGGAACAAAUGGUGGAGCGGUGAAAUGCGUAGAUAUCAUUUGGAACGCCAAUGGUGAAAACAGGUUGCUGGGGCUGUGCUGACGCUGAGACACGAAAGCCAGGGGAGCAAACGGG